GGGAAACCCUCUUCAUUGUAUGAAGAGCCCAGCCCUUGUCAGCGCCCUCUUCCAGGUCCUCAGGGAGCCGCGCUUCCUCCCUGCGAAGGGGAGGGGCGGGCACGACUUGCCAGCAGGUCCCUGUCAUCCCUCCACCACCGGCACCCUUGCACCUCCCAGGCCUUCAACCCUCCAUUUCCACCCCAGGGCCGUCUUCUCCCCACUCACCCGCCUUCCCCGCCGCGCGAGAGCACCUCCCUGCCAAACGAACGGGGGAGGAGCGCGCGGGAGGGAGGCAGAGAGAGCGCCUCGGCCGUCCCGGGAGCGGACGGAGCCUCCCGUCCCAGGGCGGGAACCAAAGAGAAAGCCACCCGCUCGCGGGCGCUUAGCGGGAGCGGGUCCGGGCUGCAGAGCGCCCCCUCGCCGGGGCCGCGCGGGCUCCCAAGGCUGCAGGAGCCUCCCCGCGGGGCUCGGGUUCCGGGGGCUCCGGCACGCUCCGCCCGCACUGGGGGUGUGGGGUGUGCGGCCGUCCCAGGUGCCCGCGCCCGGCGCGCCCCACCCCGCCCUCCCGCCCGGCGCCCGCCGGCGCGCGCGCGCCCUCGCACCCACCGUGCAGAAGCCGCGGGCGGAGGCGGCGCCCCCGGGGCCAGGGCCCUGCUGCAGGCGCCGUGCCCGCUCAGCGCCUCUGCCUCCCGGCCGCCGAGCUCCGCCCGGUGCCCAGGCCCGUCCCGGCCCGGGAGCCGCCGCGGCGCCAGCCCAGCCGCCGCCGCCGCCGCCGCUGCAGCGCCCCCCCUCCGUCGCGGCCGCCGAGCGUCCCUCCCGCAGGCUGUGGCGGGCGGCGGGACGGGUUGCAUCAGCCCCGGCUAUAUAGCGGCCCCUGGGCGGCGGGGAGGGGUCGGGAAUGCGGAACCGGCCGGGCUGCCAGCUCCAGACGUCAGAGGGGGACGGAGAGGAAGGGAAGGAGGGGACAGGGGAGGACCGGGGGCGGGGGCGGUGUGCAUCGGGCGCUUCACACCCACUGACCUUCACCUCCCCGCCGCCUCUCGCGCCCUCCUCGCACCCACCGUGCAGAAGCCGCGGGCGGAGGCGGCGCCCCGGGCCAGGGCCCUGCUGCAGGCGCCGUGCCCGCUCAGCGCCUCUGCCUCCCGGCCGCCGAGCUCCGCCCGGUGCCCAGGCCCGUCGGCCCGGGAGCCGCCGCGGCGCCAGCCCAGCCGCCGCCGCCGCCGCCGCUGCAGCGCCCCCUCCGUCGCGGCCGCCGAGCGUCCCUCCCGCAGGCUGUGGCGGGCGGCGGGACGGGUUGCAUCAGCCCCGGCUAUAGCGGCCCCUGGGCGGCGGGAGGGUCGGGAAUGCGGAACCGGCCGGGCUGCCAGCUCCAGACGUCAGAGGGGACGGAGAGGAAGGGAAGGAGGGGACAGGGGAGGACCGGGGGCGGGGGGGCGGUGUGCAUCGGGCGCUUCACACCCACUGACCUUCACCUCCCCCGCCGCCUCUCGCGCCCUCCUCCCGCAGGAGCGCGCGCGAGGAAGCAGGACGCGGCCGGGCGAUUAUGUAAGAGCAUCCCCCGCGCACCGCCGCCCGGCUUCCACCGCGAGACACGAGCUCUGGCCCGGAGAGCCGAGGAGGCUGCGGCGGGACAAGUCCAGAGCCCCUUGGAGAGCAGACGUAGCCUGUGUUGAACCAUCUUCCUCAAUCCUUAGCUCUUUUUUUUUUUUUUUCCCAAACCGAGAGAGAGAGAGAGAGAGAGAGAUUUCAACACAUUUUCAUCCUUGGACACUUCAGCACUGAGUGAGGAAAUAUCUCGCAAGCCUGCUUCAUUUUCUAUAGAAGGAUGGGCAGAGGACCAAGGCGUUUGUUGGGUGCUUCUCCCCCCGACCCACUAGCCCACUUGGCCACUUCAGCUGUCCUUAAGCCCCAGGGUGGUGGUUCAGUGCUAGAGACCUGCCUUCCUUGGGCAGCAACCUGAGCCCCUUUCCCUGUCCCAGUGGCUCACACAGUUUGCCCCCUAGUCUUUUCCGCCCAGGGACACUCCUGUGAGCAGCCCAGCCCUCAGCCCACCCCAAAUGGCCUUCUUCCCCAUGACAACUUCCAUUGCCAACUAGACUCCUACCUGCAUCCUCCUAGAGUGGCAGAUGGUUAAGGGUGACUCCAGAGGAAAUGUGUCCUCUCCGGUGCCUUCAGUGUAUAAAGGCACAGAGACUCUGAGCCCUCAAGCACACAUGUGGCGCCCAAGCCCUUGGCAUCGUGGUUUCUGUCCCCUUCCUCCAGACCCCUGGGUGCUCACUCAACCCUCUGCCUUUCUGCCUCAGCCAGUGAGGAGUGACAGUGUUUAUAUUCGGUGACCUUCAGCCUCUUUCUCAGGGUGAUGUCAGAUCAUCACCCACAGAAGAAAGGAAGUGAAAGAAAAAGUUCAUGCCUUCUUGGAGUGCAGAUGCUCAGAGCGAAAGAAACAACAAGCCUUGAGACAGAUGGGAGCAAGCGAGCAGAGCCCAGCGAGCAGGUCUCUUCAACAGGAGGACAGUGAGGUCCUAUUCUCCUUAUGGCCCAGGUGCAGGAAAGUAUUUCUGGAUCAGAGGACUGGUGUUAUGGCAGGAAAGACAGAGCAAAUCCCCAUGACACU
ensembl:lncRNA